AUCCUUGAUCACUACAAAAACUCCUGCCAAGACCUUCGUUCCCUAGCCAAAAUCCAUAUGGACAAGUCCUGGAAUUUAUCUUGGAGUUCAUCAAAAUUGGUAAAGGAUAAAUUUUACUCAAAUAUACAACCAGACAUCCCAAGACGCCCUUGGUUUUCUCUUCAUAGACAUGCUCGUCGUUGGGUAACAUCUAGCAAAUGUCGCUUACGUCUUGGCCAUGCGUGUACACCUGUUCAUCUGGCCAAAAUCAGAGUUCGUGACCACUCAUUGUGUGAAUGUGGCCUUGACGAAGGCACGGUUUCCCACAUCCUUUUUUCCUGUCCCAGACUCAUCCGUCCUAUAUACGACAUCCUUCCUCAUGAUAUUCCCCGCCCUAUAAAUGUUCAAUGUUUGUUAAUGUUGGUGUUUAGUCCCUAUUGUAGAUUUUUGUGUUAUGGUGUAACAAUGAAAGUCUGACUAUUUUGCCUGUUUUCAAAAUUAAAUAGAGACUGUUAUCUCUACUGCACCGA